UACGGGGGGGGCAAGCGUUGUUCGGAAUUACUGGGCGUAAAGCGCGCGUAGGCGGCUUUUCAAGUCAGACGUGAAAUCCUUAGGCUUAACCUGAGAACUGCGUUUGAUACUGGAUGGCUUGAGUUCGGGAGAGGGAUGCGGAAUUCCAGGUGUAGCGGUGAAAUGCGUAGAUAUCUGGAGGAACACCGGUGGCGAAGGCGGCAUCCUGGACCGACACUGACGCUGAGGAGCGAAAGCCAGGGGAGCAAACGGG
rnacentral:rRNA from 1 species